GGGUAAUUCUCAUUCCUGGGCUACCACACCGUCUCAAAGGUAACAUUACUAAUCUGGCAAAUUUCAAUGUGAAAAUGGAACGUUCUAUAUUUGACCCUGUAACUUUCCAAAACACCAUAAAACCUGUUAAUGGGGGUUACUGUUGUACUCGUGAGACAUCGCCGAUUACAAAUAUGUGCAUUUUUUUGCAGUAAAACCUAACAGUAUUAUGACAUUCACAGCUAAAAUGUCAGACAGAAAUACAAAUGUAAAAAAAAAAUCGUAUUUUCUCACAUUUUUUAAAUUUUUUUAUUCAUAAUAAAUUAUGUUCCAUAUAUGAAUAGUUAAUGAUAAAUUAAAGCCCUGUUUCUCCUGAACAAAAUGAUAUAUAAUAAGUGUGGGUGCACUUAAUGUGACAGCGGUGAAUUACGGUUGAACAGACAUAUAGCGCAAAUUCUAGUUUUUGUUUGCGUUUUGUUUUGAUCAGAACGUGCACUAUUGACUCCAUCCUGAAGGGGUUAAUUGUAGUGCUUUGGAGUGGGGUAAUAAAGAAAAAUAAUAACAAAACACUAGAAACUGUUUAUUGUAUUGUAAGGUUUGCAGAUAAUUGUCAAAUGCAUAAUUUCUAGAUGAUCAGAUUUGCUUACAGGGGGGUUGAAUGCAACAUUCCAGAGCUCAUUAAUAGGUCAAAUCCGGGUUAAAGGGAAAUCUCUUUAAAGGGAUACUCCAGCACUUUGUACGCGCCCCAACCUAUCAGUUGUGACAUGUGGGCCAAGGUAUUCAAGCAGGGAACAGUGGCUUGGCAAAUAUUUCUGGAAUAAACCCCAGAAUUUCCUCCUUGAGAUUUUCAAUUUUCAGAUGUCUUCAUGUUCGGUGCCAUUAUACACAGCAUGGCUAUCCCGAAGAUGGCUAAUGUCUCUUAUAGAGAAACAUGCAACUCUGUGCUUCUGUAUGAGAGACAUGGGAUUGGUGGAACAUGCCAUUUGGAUUAUAGGUAAGUUUAAUGGCUCUGAAUCUAAACAUAGAAAGGAACCCAUAGUAAGUGUCCAUUUAAACCAGGCUUCCCCAAACUCCGGCCCUCCAGAUGUUGCUGAACUACAACUCCCAUGAUUCUCAGCCUAUCAAUUUCAUUCAUAGAACCAUGGGAGUUGUAGUUCAGCAACAUCUGGAGGGCCAGAGUUUGGGGAAGCCUGCUUUAAACUACCGUAUAUACUCGAGUAUAAGCCGAGUUUUUCAGCACAUUUUUUGUGCUGAAAAACCCCAACUCGGCUUAUACUCGAGUCAUUGUCUGUAUUAUGGCAAUUUACAUUGCCAUAAUACAGACUGGGGGGCUGGCAGAGCUGUUACUUACCUCUCCUGCAGCUCCUGUCAGCUCUCUCCUCCUUCGCGCCGGUCCGGUCAGCACCUCGGUC